rnacentral:lncRNA from 1 species
CAUCAUCUAACCUCCUAAUAUUUGGUGUCCACUUUCUACUUUCUGGAAACCUAUGCAGCACAACCCAACAUUCUGUUAAAGCAAAAUGACACAUUAGUGACAUACAAUUCCAAAGAAUAACUUGUAUGAAAAAUAUAACAAACAACAUAAUAAUAAACAUAAUUUAUGCUUACCAUGAAAUCACUCUGCACAAGAUAUUGUGCUGAUUUUACAUCCAUGGAUGUUCCACCCGCAAAGUUAAAACUGACUAAAGGAAACUUAUCUACACUGAAUAUGUAAGAAACACAAAAAAGUUAAUGAAAUAUUUAGAAAUCCUAAUUGAACAAACUCCCUUUUCAUGUGAAGUAAAUAAAGAUCUUAAUAACAAAUAUUAUAUUUGUAAUUACCUGGUUCAGACCAGAUAACACGGGUUUCCUACUAAAACAAAGGGAUGGCUAAAUUGUGACACCAUAUAAGUUAUCUACAAAGCAAUUUAGAAACUGAACAUCAGUAUACAUUAAGGCCGAUACAAUUCUUAAAAUACAACAGAAAUAAGCAAACCCAAUUUUAAGAAAAUAAAUAAUAAGUAUUAUAUAAAAAAUAAUGUAAACUUCAACAUGGUGUUCAAUUGUUUGUUAAAGUAUCUUAAGACAUACAAGUCUCCAUUAACCUUAACAUGCAGAGUACACAACACAACAGGCAACAAAUAUUAAGCUUCAAAUAAAAAUAUUGACUCCCAAGGCAACAAAACAAGUACCACAUCAUAAGUAAGUAGUACUACAAUUAAGUAUGCAUAGUAAAAAACAAAUGAUGAAAAUUGAAACUCCUUACCCCAAGUCCAUUAGAUCGAGGCCAAUUAUCACAUUGAUUGCAACUAACCCAGAGAAGGUCGCUUUCUGUAUCAAUUAGCACAAUAUAUUACCUUGGUAGAGAUCCGAGCUUGACUAUUGUUGUGUACAUACUGAACAAAAAAAAAGCCAUCAAUUAUUAAUGAAAUCCCACUCCCUCUUAUUCCAUACAAAUAAAAUGAAAUUAAAUUAAGAUUUUUUUGGAUAAGUUGAAUAUGUAAUAUUAUUAUCAACAUCUAAAAAUGAAAAAAUAAAAUUCAUCUCCCUAUCUAACUAUACAACACAGCAUAAGAGGGAAAAAAAAAAGAAUAAUGUGGGAAUAGAAGAAACUAAAGUUAUAAAUCAAAGAGUUUGAUGGGAGAGAUCAUUGGCUCUACCCAAACAUCGAGUUGCCUUGGACGGAGAAAUUGACAGCGCCAUGCAAUAUUUUUGAGUUGCGAGCUCUGUCAUGAGCUCCCAACGUCUCCAUCUCAAUACGAUGGUUGUGCGGCACGACCUGAUUUAAAGGGAGGUAACUGGUACCCAUCAUGGGUACAACAAUGAUGGCCAAACAGCAUGCCAAAAAGAAUUGGUUAAUGUAGAAAUGCAUUUUCGUGUAAGGUUAGAGAGUAGAAAAAGAGUGGUGGUAGAAUUGGAGUGAAAGUUGAAAUAUAAUAGAGUAGAGCAAGAGAGAAUGAUAAUGUGAAUGAUUAUUAAGAUUAACAUUGGAGCUAUUUAUACUACUCAAUAUGAAUGAAUUAAGCUAAAAUAAAGAAAUGAACAAUGUAAAUGUAAAUAAUGCAGUGCUCACAUGAAUUGAUCCCUCACCUUUCACUUUGCAGCUCAUCAUAUUAGUAAAUUUGUUCCUCAAACUUCAAAUUAACUAAAAAACAGAAUGAUCAAUUGAUGAUAGCUUUUAGAUAUGAAGUCAAAUUAAGAAAAAGAGAUGAAAAUGAUGACAAUAAUAAUAAACAUUAUGUGUAAAGAGAUAAUGAAAGAAAAGUAAAAUUUGGUAUGUUUAGUAAACUGCCUGAUUUUAAUCGAAUCAUCACUGAUGGACUUACUCUGCGAAUCCAUAGCAUCCCAAUUAGAAGGAAUCCAUUUCUUAAUCCCUCACUUCCAAAUAAAGUUUUAACUCACAUAUUUUCAAUGCAGCAUCUAUGAACUCCAUAUACAUCUAUGAAUUGUCUUUACAUAUCAUACUUGAGUUACAUAAAUCUUUCUUUUACCAAAACUCUACCAUUUUAAAAAUUCAUAAUUUGUAAAUAAUUCAAUGCGAAAAUUCAUAUUAAGUAUUAGUACUAGCAAAAACAUUAGAAUGAAUGCAAAAAUUAAGAGAGAAGAUAAGAAAAUCCUACUAUUUACCAAUUCUCCAAUUUAUUAAAAAAAUCAACCUAUUGACAAAGCUUGCAUGACCAAUUUAACUCCCCCCAACACUCCCCAUUCCGAACAUUAUCUAUAAUUGAGUCCUAUAGUCUUUUAGCAUAAGCUCCAUUGACCCGCCUAUCCAAGUCUAAAUUCUAUAUGUUCCAACAUACACACAAAUUUAUAAUUGUCCAAAAUAAAUAAGCAUAACGGUUUCUCACCCAAAAAAGACCGUGGCUGAAGAGUUAACACUAGAAGGAGAAGGUUGCCCGAGGAUCGUGUCAAAAUGCAUUUCAUCAGUGACAUAAACACCUGAGGUAGUAUUAUUAUCUUGAUACCCAUAGGUGUAUGUGCACUGUUUAAUAGGAAGAAAGAGCCACAAUAAUUACAGGUAAUAACUUUGACAAAAUCCCUAACUCUGAACUAAUGAUGGAACUCGACUGCUUUGCUCUAGGAUUAUUGUUCUUGUCUUUGCUCACGGUCACAUUUACAUUCACAUGCAUAGAACCUAAAACAAGUUUUCAAUUUUAAGACAGAGAGAAAGACUAUAUACUACUUGUAGGAAAUAAAAGUUAUAAGGGGUGAACUUACAAUUAUAAUUCGUCCAUCCUAUUUGCUGAUUAGCCAAAUCGUAGACAACGAUCUUAUCUUUUAGGACAAGAUCUACAAAAAAUAAGACAAUACUUGGAUAAAAUCAACUAUUAUCAUCAGAAUUACAAAGGUCAUAGCAAAAUAUUCUUGACUUCUUUUUGAAAAUUGGAUUGUUGUGACAAAUGGAAAACAAACAAUAAAUUUAAAUAUCUAUUAGAAAUCAUUUUGAAGGAUGAUUAGGAGAAUCCAACCAUUUUUUUAACACUCAAUGCAUUUUUCAAUUUCAAUUGCAAUGGGUUUAGUGAAAUUGUAAUGUAGUAACAAAUUAGAAUCUCUAAUAAAAUAAUGCCGCGCUAAUUAUUUGAGUCAGAUACAUAACAUUUUUAGAAUAUUUUACCAUUUAUAAAAGUUUCCAUUCAAUCGGAUAAAAAAAAAAGAUACCAUUUAAUAAUCAAAUGAGAGAACAAUAAUUUUUUUUCCAAUUAAUAGCAGAGUUUAUAAAGUCUGUUUAAAUUGGUCCAUCAUCUAACCUCCUAAUAUUUGGUGUCCACUUUCUACUUUCUGGAAACCUAUGCAGCACAGCCCAGCAUUCUGUUAAAGCAAAAUGACACAUUAGUGACAUACAAUUCCAAAGAAUAACUUGUAUGCAAAAUAUAACAAACAACAUAAUAAUAAACAUAAUUUAUGCUUACCAUGAAAUCACUCUGCACAAGAUAUUGUGCUGAUUUUACAUCCAUGGAUGUUCCACCCGCAAAAUUAAAACUGACUAAAGGAAACUUAUCUACACUGAAUACGUAAGAAACACAAAAAAGUUAAUGAAAUAUUUAGAAAUCCUAAUUGAACAAACUCCAUUUUCAUGUGAAGUAAAUAGAGAUCUUAAUAACAAAUAUUAUAUUUGUAAUUACCUGGUUCAGACCAGAUAACACGGGUUUCCUACUAAAACAAAGGGAUGGCUAAAUUGUGACACCAUAGAAGUUAUCUACAAAGCAAUUUAGAAACUGAACAUCAGUAUACAUUAAGGCCGAUACAAUUCUUAAAAUACAACAGAAAUAAGCAAACCCAAUUUUAAGAAAAUAAAUAAUAAGUAUUAUAUAAAAAAUAAUGUAAACUUCAACAUGGUGUUCAAUUGUUUGUUAAAGUAUCUUAAGACAUACAAGUCUCCAUUAACCUUAACAUGCAGAGUACACAACACAACAUGCAACAAAUAUUAAGCUUCAAAUAAAAAUAUUGACUCCCAAGGCAACAAAACAAGUACCACAUCAUAAGUAAGUAGUACUACAAUUAAGUAUGCAUAGUAAAAAACAAAUGGUGAAAAUUGAAACUCCUUACCCCAAGUCCAUUAGAUCGAGACCAAUUAUCACAUUGAGUGCAACUAACCCAGAGAAGGUCGCUUUCUGUAUCAAUCAGCACAAUAUAUUACCUUGGUGGAGAUCCGAGCUUGACUAUUGUUGUGUACAUACUGAACAAAAAAAAAGCCAUCAAUUAUUAAUGAAAUCCCACUCCCUCUUAUUCCAUACAAAUAAAAUGAAAUUAAAUUCAGAUUUUUUUGGAUAAGUUGAAUAUGUAAUAUUAUUAUCAACAUCUAAAAAUGAAAAAAUAAAAUUCAUUUC